rnacentral:rRNA from 1 species
CCUACGGGCGGCAGCAGUGGGGAAUAUUGGACAAUGGGCGAAAGCCUGAUCCAGCCAUGCCGCGUGUGUGAAGAAGGCCUUCGGGUUGUAAAGCACUUUCAGUGGGGAAGAAAGCCUUGGGGCUAAUACCCUCGAGGAAGGACAUCACCCACAGAAGAAGCACCGGCUAACUCCGUGCCAGCAGCCGCGGUAAUACGGAGGGUGCGAGCGUUAAUCGGAAUUACUGGGCGUAAAGCGCGCGUAGGCGGUCUGAUAAGCCGGUUGUGAAAGCCCCGGGCUCAACCUGGGAACGGCAUCCGGAACUGUCAGGCUAGAGUGCAGGAGAGGAAGGUAGAAUUCCCGGGGUAGCGGUGAAAUGCGUAGAGAUCGGGAGGAAUACCAGUGGCGAAGGCGGCCUUCUGGACUGACACUGACGCUGAGGUGCGAAAGCGUGGGUAGCAAACAGGAUUAGAUACCCGAGUAGUC